UACAGGGGGUGCAAACGUUGCUCGGAAUCAUUGGGCGUAAAGCGCACGUAGGCGGUUCGUUAUGUCGGAUGUGAAAGCCCUUGGCUUAACCGAGGAAGUGCAUCCGAAACUGGCGAGCUAGAGUACGAAAGAGGAUCGCGGAAUUCCCGGUGUAGAGGUGAAAUUCGUAGAUAUUCGGCGGAACACCAGUGGCGAAGGCGACUCACUGGCCCGAUACUGACGCUGAGGCGCGAAAGCGUGGGGAGCAAACAGG
rnacentral:rRNA from 1 species